AGAGUGAACGCUGGCGGCAGGCCUAACACAUGCAAGUCGAACGGCAGCACAGUAAGAGCUUGCUCUUAUGGGUGGCGAGUGGCGGACGGGUGAGGAAUACAUCGGAAUCUGCCUAUUUGUGGGGGAUAACGUAGGGAAACUUACGCUAAUACCGCAUACGACCUACGGGUGAAAGCGGAGGACCUUCGGGCUUCGCGCAGAUAGAUGAGCCGAUGUCGGAUUAGCUAGUUGGUGGGGUAAAGGCCCACCAAGGCGACGAUCCGUAGCUGGUCUGAGAGGAUGAUCAGCCACACUGGAACUGAGACACGGUCCAGACUCCUACGGGAGGCAGCAGUGGGGAAUAUUGGACAAUGGGCGCAAGCCUGAUCCAGCCAUGCCGCGUGAGUGAAGAAGGCCCUUGGUUGUAAAGCUCUUUUGUUGGGAAGAAAAGCAAUCGGUUAAUACCCGGUUGUUCUGACGGUACCCAAAGAAUAAGCACCGGCUAACUUCGUG
rnacentral:rRNA from 1 species